CGAAGCUGGAAUCGCUAGUAAUCGCGGAUCAGAAUGCCGCGGUGAAUACGUUCCCGGGUCUUGUACACACCGCCCCGUCACACCAUGGGAGUCAGCAACGCCCGAAGUCAGUGACCCAACCUUUGAGGAGGGAGCUGCCGAAGGCGGGGCAGGUGACUGGGGUGAAGUCGUAACAAGGUACC
rnacentral:rRNA from 1 species